GCACUGGCGAUUCCCUUGCGGGUGCAUUAUAUUGAUCGCGCCGGGUAGCACCCGGCUAUGGCGCUAAACGCUAUGUGGAAUAGGCCUUGCGGACCCGGGGGCGGUACCCGGCGCCUCCACCAAAUUCCGGAAUUACGGCCGGAGAAUGGGGGCGAAACAGGAUCGACGCGGGUAGUAAAGACAUGGUUUGCGCUCGGCAUGGUACCACCGUUAUCGGGCUAAACCUCACAAGUGCCAACGACAACGUUGCUCUUGCCGCUGCGGCGUAAUCCGUAAGCGCGGUCCGGGGGGCACCGGGCAACAGAAGCCCCCCACU
rnacentral:tmRNA from 1 species